GGGGAUGGUAGAGAUUGGGGUGAGCUCAGGGGCCCCUAGAAGCAGACACAGGAGGGGUAGAGAUUGGGGUGAGCUUAGGGGCCCCUAGAAGCAGACAGGGGGAUGGUAGAGAUUGGGGUGAGCUCAGGGGCCCCUAGAAGCAGACACAGGAGGGGUAGAGAUUGGGGUGAGCUUAGGGGCCCCUAGAGGCAGACAGGGGGGGAUGGUAGAGAUUGGGGUGAGCUCAGGAGCCCCUAGAGGGAGACAGGAGGAGGGGGGUAUA